ACUUACAAUCAGUCGAAAGUUGGCUCACCACACAGAGUGGAACUGCAUCCCAUAACACACCAAGACUUGACACACAACCACCUAAUUUGUCCCAGCCAUGGACGUUUGUAUUAGCAGAUCGAUGAACCUUAUCAAAGUAAGUUGCAGACAUGAAAAAUAAAAUCUAUCUAAUUUCUAGGACACUUGCAUUUUGUUGUUGAGAAAAGGACACUAUUGCAAAGUCAGACACUUACUGUGUCAGAUAAAAAAUGAUGGUCUGCAUGCAUCAUUGUUUUCAGGCUUUGAAAACAUGAGAUAAUCUGAAGCACCCAACUCACACUUUUUUUUGAGGAAUAUGUCGAGCCCUUCAUGACAACGUCUUUGGUCCACACCUCUGCAAUGUUCAUGCAGGAUACCGUUUUGGAGAUGUGCAUACUAUCGAAGACGCGUAUUACGAACUGUCCUAAACCUCGAAGGAAACAAAGACAAUGAGUAGGAGUAUAGUGCUUGAGUGAGUAGCCCCAGGGCAUUCCACAGCUCGACCCGGCCCUGCAGUGAAAGCAACAUAUGUUCGACUGGCUCCAUCGCGGGGCAAAUAUCGCAUAAGCAUAACUGAAACCGACAGUGUCGAACAUAUGUACCAUCAGGAUGACAUACUCAAUGCACACCAGUCCGUGGGAGGCCGGAGCCUGCAGAUGCCACAAUACGCAUCGGACACCCUGACGCUGCCGCCGCUUUCUAUGCCCAGGGCGAAGUCAGCUAGGCUUCGGGCGACGGCGACGGCGGAGCCGCUGGAGGAGUAGCCAGAGAUACGACCUGGGGCAUAGGGGUUUUGGCGAGGCCGCGAGGGUGCCGUAGUGCGCUUUCUUGUUGUUCAUGCUGUAGACCAUCUCGUCCAUCACCGUAUUGGCUUGGCCAUGCCCAUCGCCGCCGCACGAGCGCGGCCAGCACUCUGCGCUGUCUCCCAUCUGUGCAGGUCGACCUCGUCCACGGCUGACUUGCAGCAGGGCUCACGUGAGCUCAAGGCGGCGGCCUCCCAUCUGCGCUGGAAGGCGGCGCCGGGCUGCGGCCAGAGAGACGGCGAGAGGGCGCAAGGUAGCCGGGCCGUAGCGACCUCGCACGCUGACGGCGGGAGGGCUGCAUAGGGCGGCAGGGCAAGCCGCAAGCAUCGUCGCCGGAGAAUGGCUGCGAGGUGUCUGGGAGUGAGGGCGUGUUGCCGGACGCAUCACGCGUCUGACUGCCAUGGCGACAUCGUGGUCUUGUGAUGCCAGAGGCGGCCGUCUCUCGAUCGCGCGCCUUUCCUACGCCGUCUUCCUGUCAUGUUCACGUCUGUCAUGAUCGAGACCCAGAAGCUCCACCGCCCUCCAUGCCGAAUCCAUUAUGAUCAUUGCACACAAUAUCGAACACAUGCAGGUGCGCGUGAUUUCUCACCUCUUAUUUGGAGCUGCCGAGGACCAUGGGAGGUGGCCCAGGCGAUCGUCUCGUUCCCGCCAUAGCCGAGCCUGAUAUGGCAGGUUCGGAGCAUCUGGUGCCCGACCUGAGGAACCGGCCAUAUGGUCAGUGGUUAUGCGAUCCCACAUACGCAAAAAGGAGGCGGAGGAGAUGCGUCUGUCAGAAGGGCGAUGGAGUGGCCAGCGUCGGGAGGGAAAACGGGGGCCCGACGGUCGAGGCUUCGUAGAGGGACAGGCCAACAGCGAAGUCAUGGAGGGGACGACCGAAGGCAUCUAUCGGUGGGAUUUGAG
rnacentral:lncRNA from 1 species